rnacentral:rRNA from 1 species
AGAAUGAACGUUGGCGGCGUGGAUUAGGCAUGCAAGUCGAACGGGCCUGGGUUUCGGAUCAGGUCAGUGGCGCAAGGGUGAGUAAGGCGACGGUAACCAACCCCAUGGUUGGGUAUAGCCGCGGGAAACUGCGGGUAAUCCCCAGCGAUGUAAGAUGCCGGCAUCGGUGUUUUAUCAAAGCUUUGGCGCCGUGGGACGGGCCGUCGUGGUAUUAGGUCGUUGGCGGGGUAACGGCCCACCAAGCCGAUGAUGCCUACCGGGCGUGCGAGCGUGGCCCGGCACACUGGGACUGAGACACUGCCCAGACUCCUACGGGAGGCUGCAGUCGAGAAUCUUCGGCAAUGGGCGCAAGCCUGACCGAGCGACGCCGCGUGGAGGAUGAAGGCCUUCGGGUUGUAAACUCCUGUCGAGGGGGAGGAAGGGGAAACCUUGACCGAUCCCUGGAGGAAGCACGGACUAAGUUCGUGCCAGCAGCCGCGGUAAGACGAACCGUGCUAACGUUAUUCGGAAUCACUGGGCUUAAAGCGCGUGUAGGCGGAUGGGGACGUCGGUUGUUGAAAGCCCCCGGCUCAACCGGGGAACUGGCGCCGAAACGCCCUGUCUGGAGGGACGUAGGGGGACCUGGAACUUCCGGUGGAGCGGUGAAAUGCGUUGAGAUCGGAAGGAACGCCCGUGGCGAAAGCGAGGUCCUGGACGUUUUCUGACGCUGAGACGCGAAAGCUAGGGGAGCGAACGGGAUUAGAUACCCCGGUAGUCCUAGCUGUAAACGAUGGGCACUGGAUAGGGGGCUCGCCGAUGGGCUCCCUGUCGUAGGGAAACCGUGAAGUGCCCCGCCUGGGGAGUAUGGUCGCAAGGCUGAA